rnacentral:rRNA from 1 species
UGGGGAAUAUUGGACAAUGGGCGCAAGCCUGAUCCAGCCAUGCCGCGUGAGUGAUGAAGGCCUUAGGGUUGUAAAGCUCUUUCGCCGGUGAAGAUAAUGACGGUAACCGGAGAAGAAGCCCCGGCUAACUUCGUGCCAGCACCCGCGGUAAUACGAAGGGGGCUAGCGUUGCUCGGAGUUACUGGGCGUAAAGCGCACGUAGGCGGUUUCUUAAGUCGGGGGUGAAAUCCUGGAGCUCAACUCCAGAACUGCCUUCGAUACUGGGAAACUUGAGUUCGGGAGAGGUGAGUGGAACUGCGAGUGUAGAGGUGAAAUUCGUAGAUAUUCGCAAGAACACCAGUGGCGAAGGCGGCUCACUGGCCCGAUACUGACGCUGAGGUGCGAAAGCGUGGGGAGCAAACA